AUUAUCAUAUUUGGCCUUUAUCAUGUUAAGUGCAAUACUGUAAACCUUGAAUAACACCAUGGGAUCUAUACAAAGUGCCAUUAGUGUUGCUGAAAGUGCUCCCAAGAAGCAGAGAAAAAUCAUGACAGGAAAAAGUUGAACUGCUUGAUGUUUACCAUAGAUGGAGGUCUGCAGCUGCGAUUGCCUGCCAUUUCAAGAUAAAUGAAUCUAGUGCAAGGCCCAUUGUUAAAAAAGAAAGAAAAUUCAUGAGGCUGUCACUGCAGCUACACCAGCAG
rnacentral:lncRNA from 10 species